UACAGAGGGUGCGAGCGUUGUCCGGAAUCACUGGGCGUAAAGGGCGCGUAGGCGGCUCGGUAAGGUUGCGGUGAAAGCCCGGGGCUCAACCCCGGGUCGGCCGUGGCAACUGCUGGGCUCGAGCACUGUAGAGGCAGGUGGAAUUCCGGGUGUAGCGGUGGAAUGCGUAGAGAUCCGGAAGAACACCGGUGGCGAAGGCGGCCUGCUGGGCAGUGACUGUAAUGGUCAAUAGCUGACGCUGAGGCGCGACAGCAUGGGGAGCGAACGGG
rnacentral:rRNA from 1 species